UACGUAGGGUGCAAGCGUUAAUCGGAAUUACUGGGCGUAAAGCGUGCGCAGGCGGUGAUGUAAGACAGAUGUGAAAUCCCCGGGCUCAACCUGGGACCUGCAUUUGUGACUGCAUCGCCAGAGUACGGUAGAGGGGGAUGGAAUUCCGCGUGUAGCAGUGAAAUGCGUAGAUAUGCGGAGGAACACCGAUGGCGAAGGCAAUCCCCUGGACCUGUACUGACGCUCAUGCACGAAAGCGUGGGGAGCAAACAGG
rnacentral:rRNA from 1 species